AUGCUGAAAAAGAAGAAAAACAAACAACGGGUGGAACUUCACUGCAAAUGUUGUCUUACGAAGUGUCCCUGUAUCAGGAAGCUGUCAGAAUGUCCUGAAUUGGAAGGAUGUGGGAAAGGAUCACUGAACCCUGUUCCUGGUCCUGCACAGAAAAACCCCAAGAAUCACACCAUGUGCUAUGUUCCAGGUCUUAGCUGAUUGUAUUCAAAGAGUCUUAUUUUCCUGCAAUAUAUUAUGAAUGGCUUUGGAAGAAACACCUGGAAAUGCUAAUAUUGUGUGGUGACAGCAAAAUGCUGGAAUAAAAGAGGGAAGAAGCUGGAUAUCCUGGCAGUUCUGCAGUACACCAAGUCUGUUAUUUCUGUUCUGUCUUUAUAAUGGCCAUAAAAUAUGAGCUGGGAGUAUGAUGUCAAUGCAUCCACUUUCAAUAAUUGAUAUGAUGAAUAAUCUCAACCUUCUGACACUUUCUGUAUCUUCUCACAUCUCAGGAAACUUCAUUCAUCAACCACAUUUGAAAUGUUUAAGUAAUCUCAGUGAUGUAUGGAGCACUGAAACUCCCUUGUUAGAAAUCUAUGCUACUAACAUUCUAUCAAAUUAAAAAGCCACUGAGCUCUUGUGCAUAAAAUUAUCAUAAAUUAUCUCUGAAGGUUCAUUGCUGUUUGGAAUGUUUAAUUGCUCACUCAGCUGAACUUCAGCAGCUCAAGAUUAUUAAUCAAUUUGUCAGAAGGUUUCUCAUAAUGUCAUAUUUUACACUGUGGUUAUAUGCAAGGAAAACCCAUGUGCAAGACAGUUUUAUGCAGCAAGUCAAAAGUAUCCAUGCAUACCUUUCACAAUAUUCAUUUCAUAUAUUUAUGAGGGUAUUUUUCAGUUGUUGAUUUCUCACAAAACAUAAGAAAAUUGUAAUUACCUCAGUCUAAUUUAUCUGGGUGGAAAACUAGAUUCUCAAAAAUAUAUUUAAAAGUAAAAUGGAGACAGAUAAUAAAAUGUAACUAUUGAAUCAUUCAAUCCUGGCCUACUGUUGAUUGUCUUCACUACAAUAAAUAUUCUUCUAAAUGCAGUAAAGAUGUUUUGAAAAUGCCAUACCUUAAAUGUACAUGAACAGCAUCUUCAGCCAUUUUUCUUGCACAAAUGCACAGAAUGCAUUUUUGUUUUAAAGUAAUUUUUCAGGAGAGAAUUUAACUUUGAUGUACUAAACCAUGUAUUUCAUCUUAAUUGAAACACAUGUUCCAUUAUUUGCAUUGAAUAUUUUUUAUUAUUUUAAUGGUUAUCAAUUCAUCCUUUUUAUACAGUUUUCUUUCUUUUGUUUUACAAAUGCAUAAGACUUAUUUUUCAAGUGUAUAAGACUUUAUUAAUGGGCUGAUGGUAAUAUUUUUAUUUGCAAAUUUUUUUAUCCGUCAUUUCUUUUAGGAGAAACAUAGAAGUAGAGGAUUCUGCAUUUCCUGUUCUGGAGAAUUCAAAAGUGUUUUAGAGAAACAUAUUUAAUUCUCCUGAAGCCAUUUUAUUUUCUUAAACCAGAAAAGUUUCAAAAUAUAAAGACUGGAAAAACCAUGGACAUUAUCCACUUUUUCUACUCCAUGAAUGAUCAUCAUAUUAUUCCCACGCAUGUGGAAAGAUAGAGGAUGAAAGCCAACAUGUAGUUAAUAAAUGUCAAGUAUCUAUUUGAUCUUAAGUAUUUAUGUAUAAAUAAAGUAUAUCAUACAUGGUAUUUCUACCAAAAACUGAAAAUGAAAGAAAAUAUCAGGUUGGGUGUUUGUUUUGUCAAGCUUCUUGCAUGAAAUUAAAAUAUUGGAAUGAUAAAUAUUCUUGUGUGUCAAAAACAAAUGGUCCAGUUAUCAGAAAUUUGCUGUGAACUGGCAUUAGUAUUUUUUUAUUCAUGUUUUUCUACUGUAUUUCUUCAAAGCCUUUCUUAAAAUCUAUUAUGUCCUUUAGCUGAUGAUAAAAUGGAAACAAAACAAAAGUAAUAAAUAAAUCACCUACAUUUUCUGACAUCUGGGGUUAUAAAAGCACAUCACAACAAAUGCAAAGCAGAUCCUUGGUACAAUUUCAUCACCAUUACCCAGCUCCAUUACAACAAAACUUCUAACACCAAAAAAUAAAGAUUGUCAUUAUGUUUGGCUUUGAUUCAACUCCAAAAUGAUAUGCUGAAGAUUGAGUAUAAUAUCGUCUGAAGAAAUAGGAAGAGAAGCCAGAUCUUCAGAUUCCCAAUAAUAUGUCUUAACACAUGAAUCCUUCCUUCAUCACCCUGCUCAACAGUGAUGCCUUACAGAUGAACAACUGAGCUGUGAUUAAACAGCUUAUAGACUUUUCAGCAUUUGUUUCUUUCUUUUAAUCUUUUCAUUAUACAAGUCUGCCAUAGCAUAUAUUAGCACUAGGAAAAUAUAGGAAUUAGAAAUGCAGAGACGAACAUGUUUAAAAUGCACUAUGUAUGUGGCAGAUCACAAUUUCUAGAAACAUUCAUUUCUGUAAGGUCUUUGUAGUUCUUCCUUUAUCCAACAUCAAUUUAUUUUGCCAUUGAUUACUUCAAAUCAACUUGGAUUGAACAUACUAUUUUAACAUAUUAUGCACUUUCCCAAACCUGCACAUACUUGGCUCAAAUUACCUCAGAACCAUGCUGAAAACAAACUCAUCACUAAGAAUUGAGACUGUUACUGUUUCAAUGAAAAGAAAUUGAGGACCAGACAGGAGUUUUGUAUAUUAAAAAGGUUAGGCAUUUCUGACCAUGUACAGAGAAAAUUAAAGUGGUGCUGUAAUUAGCUCAUCGAUAAAUCAAUAGGUCUGAAUGAUAACUGGAAUGGUUUGGAUGUCAAGAAUCCAGAAGCUUAUUAUGUGUGUAAUAAAGAUCAAGGCACAUAAGUUAGCAUUCACAGCUUUACUUAUGUCUGCUAGUUUCUUCUCCUCUCACAACACCAUCCCUCUUCUCAUUUAAUCAUGAAAGCUAGAUUAACUUCUUUUGUCAUUCAACCAUUUAGAAAAC
rnacentral:lncRNA from 1 species